rnacentral:rRNA from 1 species
GAUGAACGCUGGCGGCGUGCCUAACACAUGCAAGUCGAACGAAGCGACUGGAGGAAGUUUUUGGAUGGAAUCCGGUUGACUGAGUGGCGGACGGGUGAGUAACGCGUGGAUAACCUGCCUCACACUGGGGGAUAACAGUUAGAAAUGGCUGCUAAUACCGCAUAAGCGCACAGUACCGCAUGGUACGGUGUGAAAAACCCAGGUGGUGUGAGAUGGAUCCGCGUCUGAUUAGCCAGUUGGCGGGGUAACGGCCCACCAAAGCGACGAUCAGUAGCCGACCUGAGAGGGUGAACGGCCACAUUGGGACUGAGACACGGCCCAAACUCCUACGGGAGGCAGCAGUGGGGAAUAUUGCACAAUGGGCGGAAGCCUGAUGCAGCGACGCCGCGUGAGUGAAGAAGUAUCUCGGUAUGUAAAGCUCUAUCAGCAGGGAAGAAAAUGACGGUACCUGACUAAGAAGCCCCGGCUAACUACGUGCCAGCAGCCGCGGUAAUACGUAGGGGGCAAGCGUUAUCCGGAUUUACUGGGUGUAAAGGGAGCGUAGACGGCGACGCAAGUCUGGAGUGAAAGCCCGGGGCCCAACCCCGGGACUGCUUUGGAAACUGUGUUGCUGGAGUGCAGGAGAGGUAAGUGGAAUUCCUAGUGUAGCGGUGAAAUGCGUAGAUAUUAGGAGGAACACCAGUGGCGAAGGCGGCUUACUGGACUGUAACUGACGUUGAGGCUCG